rnacentral:lncRNA from 1 species
AGAGAAUAAAAGCAGGCUGCCCGAGCCAGCAGUGGCAACCUGAUGGGGUCCCUUUUCAAGCUGUGGAACCUUUGUUCUUUCUCUGUUUGCAAUAAAUCUUGCCACUGCUCACUCUUUGGGUCCACACUGCUUUUAUGAGCUGUAACACUCACCGCGAAGGUCCGCAGCUUCACUCCUGAAGCCAGCGAGACCACGAGCCUACUGGGAGGAACGAACAACUCCCGACGCGCCGCCUUAAGAGCUGUAACACUCACCGCGAAGGUCUGCAGCUUCACUCCUGAGCCAGCGAGACCACGAACCCACCAGAAGGAAAAAACUCCGAACACAUCUGAACAUCAGAAGCAACAAACUCCGGACACGCCGCCUUUAAGAACUGUAACACUCACUGCGAGGGUCCGCGGCUUCAUUCUUGAAGUGAGUGAGACCAAGAACCCACCAGUUCUGGACACAAUUUCAAGUCCUCAGGUGCCAUCAAUAUUCUGAAAAUGGCAGUGAUUUUUAUUCAACCUGUAUAAGGCACUUUCACCAUGUACCUGGAAGCAACAUCUACAUCUUUUUCAGUUUCUUCUACGCCAGGUGUGUGCUUAGCUCCAUGACAAAAGGUGACAGCUUAUUCUGCAGCACACACACAUCAUCAAAGUGGGAGGUGGUGAGACUGGCACACUGACAGUCUGUCCUAGCAGAUUUCAGCUCACACUGCAAUCUAGAUGCUGGGGACACAAGGUCCACCUUCCAGGAAUAUGGCCAUGACACCAGAAAUCACAAACAUGAUGAGAAUGGAAUGACUGGGGAAGAAGUGCCAGAUGCUUCACUUGUAAAUGAAGACCCAGCCUCUGGGGAUGCAGAUACCACCUCCCUGAAGAAGCUGAAUAUCUGCAGAUAAGUGGAGUUCACCAAUGAUGAGGAGCGGGAUGGAGAAAGGAGGUAGGGAGAGUCAUCCAAGGAACAUGAGCAACAUGUUAAAAGAAUUGAACCAGAGUCCGGUGAAUAUCAGCACUGGGACCAGUUAGCAGAGGAAAAGGAAAGAAUAAAAGCGAAAAGAAUGAAGAGUCAUAUGAUUACCAACUUUUCCUUUUUCAUAUAAAUUGAGUGUAUAUGGGUCUGGAACAACCUGAAUUUCCAUCAAGUCCUGGCUAACCUCAUUAUGUCCUAUGAAUAUUUUUGACUAAUCCCACUUUACAUUAAUCUGUAUUGUGAAUGUGGAUAUUGAAUUAUAUUUCUUUGUAAUCCCAUUAUCCAAAAUCCAGUUCAGAGACUAUUAGUUACCAAUGUUCACUGUGAAGGAAAAAAAAAAAAAAAAAGCUCAGAGGAUAAACAUGUGAUAUGGUUUGGCUGUGUCCCCACCCAAAUAUCAUCUUGAAUUGUAGCUCCCAUAAUUCCCACGUGUUGUGGGAGGGACCCGGUGGGAGAUAAUUGUAUCAUGGGGGUGGUUCCCCCAUACUAUUCUCAUAGUAGUGAAUAAGUCUCACAAAAUCUGAUGGUUUUAUGAGGGAAAACCCCUUUCACCUGGUUCUCAUUCUCUUCUCUGGUCUGUCGUCAUGUAAGACAUGCCUUUCACCUUCUCCACCAUGACUGUGAGGCCUCCCCAGCCACGUGGAACUGUGAGCCCAUUAAACCUCUUUCACUUAUAAAUUACCCAGUCUCUGGUAUAUCUUUAUCAGCAGCAUGAAAACAGACUAGUACAACAUGUUUGGAAAUGAUGUUCAGAAUUAAAUUUUCUUCUUGAAGAAUAAUAAUGUACAGGAGUGUGUUGAAGAUUUUGAGAAUUCUCACAGCAAAGGAACUUGUUAAUUUUUUUAAUCCACCUACCUAAUAGAAUUAAUAUUUUAAGAGAAACAGCUUGUGAAACAAUUAUAUAUAUGGUCCCAUAAAAACUUUUAGAAAACAAUUAUUAUACACACAUAUAAACACAUAUUACUUACUAGUAAAGAUGUACCUAUCUUCCUAGGAAGCUCUUUCAUGGUAUUUCAUUAGUAUCCCUUCCAGCACCUACCAUCCAUCCAGGCAAAUUUUAGAUGUUUUACAAAGGUUUAUGAAAUUGCAUUAAACACCUGUUAAAAAUCACUUUGUUCAUUGCAAGACAUUUAUAUACUGUAGUUUUAAAGAAAGAUAACAGCUGAGGGGAGCUACAGGAAAAAGAAAAGCAUAGAACUUAUGUUGAAUUAUUUUUCUUGUGCAUAUGAAGUUGCUCUGUGAGAACAAGAGCACUCAGCAGACGUAUAGAUCCACUAUCUUUUCACAUGGCAAUAUGUUCAUCCUUUCAGACAAUUUGAGCAAGUUUGGAACAUAAAAUAAUACAAAGAGGCUAAAAUGCAAAGCAAAAAAAAAAAAAUGAAAAUGAUUGGCACAAAAUAAUGGAGCAAUUGUAAGAGAUGUUACAUGUGUAAACUUAAACCAGGACAUAAACCGUUGAAGUUCACCGUUUAAGGAAGCAUCCAAAUAUAUAAUAGUCCUGCUAAAUGCUUGGAGUAGCAAAUUUCUAUCACAUGCAUCCACAUGCACAUCUUACAUUAAAAUCCCGUGACAAUAGUGUUAACAUCUUGUCAUUUUAGCCUUGAAUGUCAAAGGCUCAUGGGAUCUACUCCAUGACUCACAUAACCUGUAUAUCUAGAAACAGGUGUUUUAAACUCUACAUCUGGUGAUAAAUAUUAAAGAUAGAAGAUGAGAGUUCUAAAACAGUCUACUUAUUUCAUUUCCACUUGGCUUUGCCACCAUUACCUAAACUAUUACAGAUUGAGCUCCACAGACUACUCAGAAUUCUCCUCCUGUCUUGAAAUUCCAAAUGCAAUUUUCCCAGGAUUUUUAGAAAUUUAUGAAAUUAUUAGCCAAAAAUAUUAUAUUUCAAGAUUAAGCCCUCAUCCUACAGUUUAGAAAACCAAGAGCCAGCUGAAAAUACUUGCUCAAAUUCAGAGAAUGAAUGUUGUCUAAAUUAGUUCAAAAACAAGUGACUCAUUGAAGAUAAAGUAGUGUGGUGAUUAAAAGCAUGUACUUUGAAAAAAAAAAAAGUGACUCUUGGCUUGUAAUACAAUUUUUUCACUGCAUUAUUCUAAGGAAAUUUGUUAGUAGAGCUGAAAUAAUACAGCAUUAGGGUUAAAAAGUACAAGUUUCAAAGUUACAAAGACCAAGGUAGCGAAAGGCAAAUUACUCAACCUCUCUAAACAUGGUUUAUUCAUUAGUAAAAGAAGAACAAGAAUAUUAUUUAUGACAUAGUAUUAAGAGUUUUAAACAAUGUAGAAUACUGAAAGUGCCAAAAAACUAUUGUCAUUAUUACAUAUGUAAGUAAAAUUUAUUUUCUGCAUAUCAUUGUAUUAGUCUGUUUUCAUACUGCUACAAGGAACUACCCAAGCAGGUAAUUUGUAAAGAAAAGAGGUUUAAUUGACACACAGUUCAGCAUGGCUCGGGGGGCGGGGGGGCCCUCAGGAAACUUACAAUCAUGAUGGAAGGCAAAGGGGGAGCAAGGCACCUUCUUCACGAGGCGGCAGGAAGGAGAAAUGCUGAGUGAAAGGGGAAGAGCCCCUUAUAAAACCAUCAGAUCUAGUGAGAACUCACUAUCAUGAGAACCGCAUGGAAGAAACUGCUUCUGUGAUUCAGUUAUCUCCACUUGGUCUCUCCCUUGACACACGACGAAUUACAAUUCAAGAUGACUUUUGGGUGGAGACACAAAGCCUAACCAUAUCAAUCACCAUACCUUUCAAAAACUACAAAUAGUUUUCAUUACAUUUGGAGGUCAGUCUCAUGUAAAUUAUAAUGAGGUAUCAUAUUCAAAAUCCACUUUGAUCUCUGCUUCUAAGAGGACGGAGUGGACAUAAUUUCCGUAUUCCUCCCAAUGGGCACAACUAAAAACUCUGGAAAUGAUAUAUAAAACAAAUGUAAGAAGACUCUAAAGCAUGGAAAGAAAAAGGCAGGCGAGCUUGGGAAAUUGGAAUUCAAUGAACUACACAGUGCUGAGUUCCCUGAGUUUUCAUCUUGCCUCACAUAUCAUCUCAGACUGGGCACUAAAGACAUCAACAACCCGAAAAUACUAAAACGCUAAUGGACACAAACACCAAAACACACACAUACACACACAAAUAAAAACCCAAGAGAAGCCUGCUUUCUCUUGCCAAUGGACCAGAAAAGAAGCAGCAUAGGAAGACAGAAAACAUUUAGACAAUAACCACUUUACUCUAGCCAAACACUAUGUAAAAUACUGCAUGCCUACCCCUAGAAGCAAAGGCAGAGGGGAGAGUCCAGUCUUUGGACUCUUGCCAGGCUGCCAGGAGGUGCUGCAAGCCCUACCUACCUCCAGAGUGGUGUCAGAGAAGGCAGAGUGGAAAGCUGAGACCAUCAUCCCUAUCAGGUGGUAAAGAGGAUCCCCUUCAGGGUGUCAGGGGAGUCCAUGGGAAGAGGGAUAGGGACUUGGAUUUCCACCCUACCCAGAGGCACCAAGGCACCCACACUCCUCUCACUGAGGUGCUGUCAGAGGAGGUCUAAUGGAGAGUCGGUACUUUAAUGUGGCUCAGUGGUAACAAGCUCGACCCCAAAAGUGCUAGUAGAGGCCAUGUGGGAAGCUGUAAGAAGACAUCCCUCCCCUCCCAGCCAGGGUGGUAUCAACAGAUACCUAAUGGGGAACUGAGUUUUGACCAAAGUGCAAAAGCAAUUCAAUGGAGGAACAAACUUUUCAAUAAAUGGUGCUGAAGCAAUUGGAUACCUAUAGGCAAAAAAAUAAAAAUAAAAAAAAAUUAGACCUCAAACGUUUAACAAAAAUUAACUCAAAAUAAAUAGUAUAUUUAAUAUAAAAUGUAAACUACAAAACUUACAAAAUAACAUUGGAGAAAAUUUUCAGGACCUAGGACUUGGUGAAGAAAAUGUAGAUGUGACACCAAAAGCACAAUCCAUACGAGUAAAAAAUCAAUAAAUUGGAUCUACUUUUGCUCUGUGAAAGAUCCUGUUUAAGAGAAUGAAAAGACAAGCUAUAGAGUGGGAGAAAAUAUUUGCAAAUAUCAGUGAGAUUUCUUAAAAUUGAACAGUUAAAAACAAAUAACCCAAUUAGAAAAUGGGCCUUCCCCACCCCCAAAAAACCCAUGAAGAGACAUUUCAGACAUGUAAGCAAAUGAAAAAAUGUUCAAAGUCACUAGCUAUUAGGGAAAUGCAAAUAAAGACCAUGAGGAGACAUCACUACAUACCUUUCAACAUGCUGACAUAAAAAAAACGGUGACAACACCAGAUGCUAGCAAGGAUACAGAGAAACUUGAUGUCUCAUACAUUGCCAGUGGGAAUACAAAAUGGUUAAGCCACUGUGGAAAACAGUUUGGCUGUUUCUUAAAGUAAUUAAACAUAUGCUUACCAUACAACCCAGAAAUUGUACUCCAGGGCAUUUAUCCCAGAGAAAUGAAACAUUAUUGUAGCAGUUUUUUGUUGUUGUUGUUAUAGCCAAAACCUGGAAUACAGCAAUAAAAAGGAAUAAACUAUUAAUACACACCAUGAUUUGGAUGGAUUUCAAAGUCAUUACAAUAAGUGAAAAAAAAUCUCAGAGGACACAUUUAUAUGUGAGCUCAUUUAUACAACAUUCUUGAAAUGAUAAAAUUACAGAGACAGGAAAAAAAAAUUAUGUUUCCCAUGAGUUAGGGAUGGUAUAGGCGAGGAAAUUGAGUGCAGCUAUAAAGGGGUAAUUUGAGGGAGAUCUUUGUGGUAAAGGAAUAGUUCUGUAUCUUGAUUGUACUGAUGAUAUAGACUGAUGAAUCUACACAUAUGAUAAAAUGACAUGGAAUCAUAUAUACUCAUUGUCUAAUUUCUGUCUUUGAUGCUGUAUUAUAGUUAUAUAAGAUGUAUCCAUUGAUGGAAACUGAGAGAAGAGUACGUGGGUUGUCUCUGUGCUACUUUUGCAACUUCCUGUGAAUCUACAAUUAUUUUAAAAUAAAAUUUUUCUUUUUUUAUUAUACUUUAAGUUCUAGGGUACAUGUGCACAAUGUGCAGGUUUGUUACAUAUGUAUACAUGUGCCAUGUUGCUGUGCUGCACCCAUUAAGUCGUCAUUUACAUUAAGUAUAUCUCCUAAUGCUAUCCCUCUCCCCUCCCCCC